AUCUUCCAGAAACGUCUGUGGGCCCGGACGCGGGGCCCGCAGCUGCCAGGCGGGUCCCUCUCUCCACGGCACAGUGGUGGGCACCCUCGGGCUCCACCCCACCCCCACUCCCCUCCCCCGACUUUCCCUCAGCGCGCCUCAAACCCCGGCCGGCCUCGAGCCUGGGCAGAGGUGAGGCCGGAGCCCGCUGGAACCUUCAGAGCGAGCGUGGCCUUGGUGUUAGACUUCCAGCUUCCAGAACCCCUACACAAGCAACCCUGAUGGGAAGCCUUCACUACCUUCUUCAUGCUCCUGUGUGUUUAUACAGAACUUCACAGGCAAAUACAAGUGUGGGGUUUGGGGUCAAGUUUGGCUUUAUUUGGAGUCACUUUGCCAAAAGGGGAUCAUAUUAACACCCAUCUCCAUUUCUUACUUUUCUCACUCAAGAAUAAAAUCCUUAAGGGAAAUCCCUCCAAA